rnacentral:rRNA from 1 species
CCUACGGGCGGCUGCAGUGGGGAAUAUUGGACAAUGGGGGGAACCCUGAUCCAGCGACGCCGCGUGAGUGAAGAAGUAUUUCGGUAUGUAAAGCUCUAUCAGCAGGGAAGAAAGAAAUGACGGUACCUGACUAAGAAGCCCCGGCUAACUACGUGCCAGCAGCCGCGGUAAUACGUAGGGGGCAAGCGUUAUCCGGAUUUACUGGGUGUAAAGGGAGCGUAGACGGCGAUGCAAGUCUGAAGUGAAAGGCGGGGGCCCAACCCCUGGACUGCUUUGGAAACUGUAUGGCUGGAGUGCAGGAGAGGUAAGUGGAAUUCCUAGUGUAGCGGUGAAAUGCGUAGAUAUUAGGAGGAACACCAGUGGCGAAGGCGGCUUACUGGACUGCAACUGACGUUGAGGCCCGAAAGCGUGGGGAGCAAACAGGAUUAGAUACCCGGGUAGUC